GACGAACGCUGGCGGCGUGCUUAACACAUGCAAGUCGAACGGAAAGGCCCUGCUUUUGUGGGGUGCUCGAGUGGCGAACGGGUGAGUAAUACGUGAGUAACCUGCCCUUGACUUUGGGAUAACUUCAGGAAACUGGGGCUAAUACCGGAUAGGAGCUCUUGCUGCAUGGUGGGGGUUGGAAAUCUUCGGCGGUCGGGGUGGGACUCGCGUCUUAUCACCUUGUUGGUGGGGUAGUGGCUUACCAAGGCUUGGCCGGGUAGCCGGCCUGAGAGGGUGACCGGCCACAUUGGGACUGAGAUACAGCCCGGACUCCUACGGGAGGCAGCAGUGAGGAAUAUUGCACAAUGGGCGGAAGCCUGAUCCAGCAACGCCGCGUGCGGGAUGAAGGCCUUCGGGUUGUAAGCCGCUUUCGCCUGUGACGAAGCGUGAGUGACGGUAAUGGGUAAAGAAGCACCGGCUAACUACGUG
rnacentral:rRNA from 1 species